rnacentral:lncRNA from 1 species
UAGGAUAGUGCAUGGGAGUUAUAUUGAUAAUAGUUUAGAAACUAUGUGAAGUAUGUAUUUAUGGGUGUUUGCCUUGAAGUUAACAUGUGGUUAUAAAUUAGGCUUGAAUGACAUUUUGGGAUUGUAGUGGAAGGUCGCAAUAUGCAUUAGCGACUUCAUAUUAAGAGUUCAGAGUAGUCAUUGAAGUGGUAAGGCAUGUUAUGCUU